CCAUCACAUGAACCAGUGGUUGAAGUCUGUCUCUGCUCCCAGCUUGUACAACAAGGUCCAGGGUGUGGAGGAUCUGAGGCUGAGAUGAGGAAACAGGCCCUCCAGUGCACCAGCCUGGCGGCUGGGACCUCCCUGACAGAGCACCUCAGGGUGGACGCCGACUCGAAGGAGCUGCAAGGGACUGGAGACCUGUGGCUGCACCCACAGCAGAGUGGCCCCAGGGGCCCAGGGCCAGGGUGGCUACGGGCAGGGCUGGGCCAGGCUUCCAUGGUGAAGUCAGACCCUCUUGGUUCUCUCUGACUUCUCUCCAUGUGUGUCUUCAGUCCCUCUCUGUCCCUGUUCUGAGACUCCAGCUUUCUCGGGCACCGCUUGCCUGUCCCUGUCUCUUUCUCUUGCUUCUCUGCUUGUAGUCACAUCUUUCCUUCUGUAGACAGCUCUCUCCAUGCCACAGGGGCCUCCAGCACGCUGUACUGUCCCCACAGGUCGCUGUCCCAGAUGACUGAAGUCCAUCCUUCACAGCAGCUGGGGCAGUGGAGCCCGCGGGACCCCCCGGCACCCUGGACCACACACAGCCUAGGGACCAGUGCAGCCCCAGAGGGGCCAGCAAAGCACAGCAAGUUUAGUGCAUAUAUAAGAAGAAACAUCUCUGGACAUCAUCUAAUGUUAAACGUUGUAAGUAUAGGAAAAAGAAACAAAACUUCCUUCACAGGAUUAUUCUCAGAACUGAGUGUUUUUCUGCUUCCACUUGGUACUUCAGGAUGCUUCAUCUGGAGGGCUUAGGUGAGCUGACAACUCACUGCUUCCCGUCCCUCCUGGGCUACUGGCGCUUACUUUGAGCUCAUGGAGAGUUCCCUGAUUUCCAGGGAGGAGCGUGGAGCUGCCCCUGGUCCCUCACAGCCCUGCCAUCCCUCUCCCCGACUCCACAAUGCCUUCAUUUCCCUCCAAGUGCUUUCCCUCUGUCCUUCCAGUACCAAAUUCCACGAAUGAAGAGCCUCAGGCUGUCAUCACACUGCAAUCACCCCAUGAUGCUGCUAUAAAUGCUCUCACCUGAAACAGAAAACGACCAGAGCUGACGUCCAAAGCUCAGCCCAGACACACCGGGCUUCCUCACAGCGUUUGAAGCUGCAGACCCUCAUUGCUGUCUUUCUCCCGUCCUUAAAGGUAAAGGAAAUGGCCAGGCGCGGUGGCUCACGCCUGUCCCAGCACUUCGGGAGGCCAAGGCGGGCGGAUCACGAGGUCAGGAAAUCGAGACCACCCUGGCUAACACGGUGAAACCCCAUCUCUACUAAAAACACAAAAAAUUAGCUGGGCGUGGUGGUGGGCGCCUGUAGUCCCAGCUACUCAGGAGGAGGGUGAGGCAGGAGAAUUGCUUGAACCUGGGAGGUGGAGCUUGCAGUGAGCCGAGAUCACAUCACUGGACUCCAGCCUGGGUGACAGAGUGAGACUCCGUCUCAAAGAAAAAAAAAAAAAAAAAAAAAAAAAAUAGUUCAAGG
rnacentral:lncRNA from 1 species